AUUGAACGCUGGCGGCAUGCCUUACACAUGCAAGUCGAACGGCAGCACGGGUGCUUGCCCCUGGUGGCGAGUGGCGCACGGGUGAGUAAUCCAUCGGAACAUGUCCUGUAGUGGGGGAUCGCCCGGCGAAAGCCGGAUUAAUACCGCAUACGCUCUACGGAUGAAAGCGGGGGACCUUCGGGCCUCGCGCCAUAGGGUUGGCCGAUGGCUGAUUAGCUAGUUGGUGGGGUAAAGGCCUACCAAGGCGACGAUCAGUAGCUGGUCUGAGAGGACGACCAGCCACACUGGGACUGAGACACGGCCCAGACUCCUACGGGAGGCAGCAGUGGGGAAUUUUGGACAAUGGGCGAAAGCCUGAUCCAGCAAUGCCGCGUGUGUGAAGAAGGCCUUCGGGUUGUAAAGCACUUUUGUCCGGAAAGAAAGCCUGGGCCCUAAUACGGUCGGGGGAUGACGGUACCGGAAGAAUAAGCACCGGCUAACUACGUG
rnacentral:rRNA from 1 species